rnacentral:rRNA from 1 species
UACAGAGGUCCCAAGCGUUGUUCGGAUUCACUGGGCGUAAAGGGUGCGUAGGUGGUGAGGUAAGUCGGAUGUGAAAGCUCCGAGCUCAACUCGGAAAUGGCAUUGGAAACUACCUUGCUCGAGGGUUUGAGGGGGGACUGGAAUACUUGGUGUAGCAGUGAAAUGCGCAGAUAUCAAGUAGAACACCAGUGGCGAAGGCGAGUCCCUGGAAAACUCCUGACACUGAGGCACGAAAGCUAGGGGAGCAAACAGG